rnacentral:rRNA from 1 species
GAUGAACGCUGGCGGCGUGCCUAAUACAUGCAAGUCGAGCGAACAGACGAGGAGCUUGCUCCUCUGACGUUAGCGGCGGACGGGUGAGUAACACGUGGAUAACCUACCUAUAAGACUGGGAUAACUUCGGGAAACCGGAGCUAAUACCGGAUAAUAUAUUGAACCGCAUGGUUCAAUAGUGAAAGACGGUUUUGCUGUCACUUAUAGAUGGAUCCGCGCCGCAUUAGCUAGUUGGUAAGGUAACGGCUUACCAAGGCAACGAUGCGUAGCCGACCUGAGAGGGUGAUCGGCCACACUGGAACUGAGACACGGUCCAGACUCCUACGGGAGGCAGCAGUAGGGAAUCUUCCGCAAUGGGCGAAAGCCUGACGGAGUAACGCCGCGUGAGUGAUGAAGGUCUUCGGAUCGUAAAACUCUGUUAUUGGGGAAGAACAAAUGUGUAAGUAACUAUGCACAUCUUGACGGUACCUAAUCAGAAAGCCACGGCUAACUACGUG